GGGCAGAUGGGAACAGCCUGUAGAUUUGCUUUUUUAACUGCUUUAAAACAAAAACUCAAAGACGCGCAGGUUAUGAAAACAGGAUGUCAGCUUUUGUCAGAGAAGAUCACAAGAAGUUUGAGGGUUUUUUUAUUCUAGCUGCCUCUUUCUCUUUCUUUCUCUCUCAUUUUCUUGCUCCCUCCCUCCUCCCCCUCCUAAUUUCUGUCAGCACCGAGCACAGCUAGAGGGAGAGAAGAGGAUGGCGGUGGCUGAGACGCAGCUGUAUGCAAAGGUGUCCAACAAACACAGGAGCAAAAGCCCCUCUGCACUCCUGGAGUCUCUCCUGGCCAAAGGAUUCCCAGCUCACAUUGCGCAAAAAGCCUUGGUUGCUACUGGCCAAAAGUCAAUAGAAGAUGCUGCAAAAUGGUUGCACUCUCACUGUAACGAUCCCUCUUUGGAUGACCCCAUCCCCCAGGAAUAUGCUCUUUAUUUGUGCCCCACUGGCCACUUGUUUAACUGCCUGCAAGAGUUUUGGAAGGAGAGCAAGCGGCAAUGCGGGAAGAACAGAGCCCAUGAGAUUUUCCCUCACAUCACACUCUGUGACUUCUUCACGUGUGAAGACCAGAAAGUGGAGUUACUGUAUGACAUCUUAAAGAGAAUCUGCAACAGCUUUGCACAGAGAUUUCCACCAACUAUUUCCCUAUCAUUACACUCAUCCACCAGCUACCUUGGUUUCUUUGUUGGUGACAGCCAUGCAAAUAUCCUCAAAGAGUUUGCUGUGGCCUUCUCUUCAGAGGCUUCAGCCCUAGCAGACUGUCACGUGAAGCCCUGCCUAAAACAGCUCCACCUUACCUUGGCUCACAAGUUCUGUCCUCACCACCAGAAGACUUUGGAGCAACUCGCCAAAUGCAUUAACCCAGAGGAGACCUGCCACUGGGUAGCUGCUCUCUACUCAAGGGACAUGCGUUUUGUGCAUUACCAGACACUGCGGGCUCUCUUCCAGUACAAGCCCCAGAAUAUUGACGAGCUCAUGAUCAAUGCUGGGGACUUCAUCUACGUCAACCCAACACAGCAGUCUGAAGUCAGCGAAGGCUGGGUCAUCGGGACCUCGCACCAGAGUGGGUGCAGGGGUUUUCUUCCUGAAAACUACACAGAGAGAGCCAACGAGUCAGACACGUGGGUUAAGCACAGGGAAUAUGCUUUUGUGCCAGCUUCAAAAUUUUUCACCCAAUCCACAAAUGAUCCUAAUGUUAAGCUGAAUGGAGAAGUCCAUAAUCCUGUUAUGUCAAGGAGUGUAACUGAUGUUCUUUCACUUCAGCUUUCUCAGAACACCAAUCUGCGAAGAGGUUUGUUGGUGAUGCGCCAUGGAGAAAGAGUUGAUCAGGUCUUUGGGAAAUCUUGGCUUCAACAGUGCUUAACUGCAGAUGGAAAAUACUACAGGGCAGACCUCAACUUUCCUUCCACCCUACCAAAACGGAAAGACAGUGUAAAGCAUUUUGAGCAUGAUCCUCCUUUAUCUUCCUGCGGUGUUUUCCAAUCAAGACUUAUAGGGGAAGCUCUGCUGGACCAGGAGGUGACAGUCAGCUACAUGUACUCAUCGCCUGCCCUACGCUGCAUACAGACAGCCCAACAUGUACUACAAGGGCUUAAAUUAGACCAAAAAGUCAAAAUCAGAGUGGAACCAGGACUGUUUGAAUGGACCAAGUGGGAAGCAAGCAGAGUAAUUCCAAACUUUAUGACUCUCACAGAACUGACAGAGGCUUCUUACAACAUAGAUACAAGUUACAGGGGAAUCAUCCCACUCUCUUCUCUGGUCCCAUCAGAAAGUUAUGAGGAAUAUGUGAGCAGAAGCUCUGCAGUUAUAAAAGAGAUUGUCACUGCCUGCCCCAGCAAAGGUGUCAUCCUUAUUGUGGGGCAUGGCUCUUCCUUGGCAUCUUUCACCCGACCUCUGAUAGGACUCCCUGCCAGAGACAGCAGCGACUUUGCCAAUGUAGUUCGAAAGAUCCCUUCUCUGGGCAUGUGUUUCUGUGAAGAGCUCAAAGAGGAGAAGAAAUGGCUGAUGGUUAACCCUCCAGUGAAGACAUUAACUCAUGGAGCAAAUGCAGCAUUUAACUGGAGAAAUAGUAUCAUGGAAGGUUAGAAGGCCAGCUUUGUCCUUGCAUCUGCCAAAAACAAGCAUCAGAUCCAUUUUCUGUGUGGCUCCACUAGGAGGGUGAUCUGCAGGUACAGUGUCUUCCUUUUUCUUUGAACAGUUCCCUUGUGCUUUUACCACUGCACACAACAUAGUAAUGCUUUGCUUUUCAUGCCUCUCCACCUGCAGAAUGCUUCUUACAGCCAGUUUAUUGCUCUCUACUCCUGUUCAUGUUACUAAGUUGGUAAGCACUGCUUGGCAGGGCUUUCCUUACAGGUGGGGGCAUAGGGAAAGAAUUCAACAAAUUUACUCAGUUCUAUCAUGCAGAGAGCCCACAGAGCACCAAGAAACCCAUCUGCAAACCAAAUAUGCUUGGUAGGAAUGUCAUUAAGACAUUUGCACCACAGAAAAAGACAGUGUACUGUUUUUCACUACAUAUACACUCCAGUAAUUUUGAAUUUGGUGAAUGCAGCGAAUUGAACCUCAGAGCAUGUAGGAAAGAGGAUUUGGGGACUUGAAUAUUUUUCUUGUGGUGUUUUCUAAACCUCAUACUGCACCGCUGAGCAGAAGAGGAGAAAAGUUUUGUUGCAAAGUUUUGUUUUAGCUUAUACAGAUUUUAUUUCAAUCAUCCAAAUUAACUGAACAGGCAGCAGAAGUGGCAAUUGUAACCAAAGCUCAAUCAAAGGGCAAGGAUAAGCUCUUCUACUCACAAGUUCCCCUUUUUGGGCUUUCCUACAACCCCAUAUGAGCACAGACUCAGCUCCAAAAAACAUUUUGUAGGAUCAGAGCUGCAAUUAUAUCUUUCUUCUACAACCUACAAUCUAAGAAUCUACAAGGAUUUUUAGCUGUAAAAACUGGUGCUUAGAAGAGAGACAGAAUUCCUGAUGGGAUGUGUUCAUCAUAUGAAAUAAAUUGCUGAACACAGGAAGUACGUGUGCUCCAGACUUUCUUGGUAUGAGAUGGACUUGAGAACUCCAGGUGCCUUCUUUAGCUGCAAUGAGCUCUCUUGGUGAGCUUCCUUCUUCACUGUGGAAAGAAUCCUAUCUCUGGGGAAGAGACAGCUCUGCAAGUGAAAUAUGACUGUGUUUUCUGAUUCUUAUACUCAGCAUAUUAUUCAGGUCUCAAACAUGACUACUGUUUUCUUUCUUCAUUGCUGAAAAGUGAAGAGGCAGAAGGAUGAGAGGGACUAGCACACCUCAGUGCACCAACUUUUGGUCAGGUGUUUCUCUCCAAAAUAGGGAUGAAGGAAUUACUGACUUUACAAAUUAUCCUUACGGUAUUUCUGAAAGUUACAGUGAAAUGAAAUGCCUUCUUCUACAAAAGCAUUGUUUUCCCUAAGAAGUAAACCAUCUUCUCAGGAGCCCUUUCUAACCCAUAGAGGCUUCCAGAUGUUUUUAGCUGUAUUCUAGACAGUUUGCACUUUUCGCAGCUUUGCCACUGGAGGUCACUAAUGUACUAAUAGAGGGUACAGCACUGGGUGCUGGAGGGGAAAAGGUAAUUUCCUAAAUCCUUCAAGAAUUAACUCUUCUUGAACUGAAGAGUACCUUUAAAUGGAAUUGAACUGGGAAAUACAUUAUGUUGCUGUUUCUCAAAUUUACAGUAAAAUAUAGUGAGUAAACAGCUGGUAAACUAAUGAUUUGUAAGUUUUUAUUACAAAUAAAAAAUUACUAAGCCAAGUAUGCUUUGAUCAAACUAUUGUAAUAACACUGCACUUCUCUUCACCAAAGAAAGCCAAAAGAGGAAAAGGCAAUCACCUCUAA